GUUCAAGCUCUAUCCGAUGGUCAGAAAUAUUCGUAGAGGGAUUAAUAUGAUUUCUAAGGAUUUUAGGACUCCUUUUCCUACCAAAAAAUUAUAAAAAAUUUAUCUAUAAAUAGGAGGUCCAGGAAUAAGCUUUGAGAGCAGAAAAAUUGAGUAGAAAGUAUAGAAAAAAAUAAAAAAAUAAAAUAGCUUUUGGGAUCCAAAAAAAGAAGGAGAGAAGCC
rnacentral:lncRNA from 1 species